UGAGGAAUAUUGGUCAAUGGCCGAGAGGCUGAACCAGCCAAGUAGCGUGAAGGAUGACGGCCCUACGGGUUGUAAACUUCUUUUAUAAGGGAAUAAAGGGCGCCACGCGUGGUGUUUUGCAUGUACCUUAUGAAUAAGCAUCGGCUAACUCCGUGCCAGCAGCCGCGGUAAUACGGAGGAUGCGAGCGUUAUCCGGAUUUAUUGGGUUUAAAUGGAGCGCAGGCGGGCGAUUAAGUCAGUUGUGAAAUGCCACGGCUCAACCGUGGACCUGCAGUUGAUACUGGUUGCCUUGAGUGCGGCAGAGGCAGGCGGAAUUCGUGGUGUAGCGGUGAAAUGCUUAGAUAUCACGAAGAACUCCGAUUGCGAAGGCAGCUUGCUGGACCGUUACUGACGCUGAGGCUCGAAAGUGCGGGUAUCAAACAGG
rnacentral:rRNA from 1 species